GGUAAUGGGGGGAAUCUGACCGCAACAUCUGUCAUCCCACGGACCUCUGGAAUUGAUUCUGCUGAUCUAGCAGCCUGAGUGGGUGUUCCUUUCUUCCCUGGUGGCUCCAUAUGUGUCCCUCUUGAAACUGCAUCCUCAUUUGAAGAGGGUAAACCUUUCUUCAGUUGGACUCUCCCACUAGAAACACCAAACAAACUCUCAAUAUAGCUUGUUAAUCCAGAUGUAGGAGAACUGGUAACACACAGUGCCUGU
rnacentral:snRNA from 1 species